rnacentral:lncRNA from 1 species
AUUAGACCCGACCGUGCUCCAGGCCCGCGGAGCCCCGCUCGUGCUGCGGCGGCUGGGAUGGGGAAGGGGACGCCCUGAGCCGGGUGAGUCCGCGGCGUGGGCCGCGGGCAGGUGCGCAGGGCCUCCCGGGGUUCCGAGACGCCUCCCCGCAGCCGCCGGGCCUGAGCUCCGAGCAACACGGCGGCGCCGCCCGCUGCUGCCCGGGGCGCAGCCUCCUCCGGGCUGGACCGUCCCGCGGCAACCGGAGCCCCGUUCCUGCUCGCUCUUGCUUCCUCCCUCCUGCCUCUCCUGCCUCUGCCUUCCUGGGGGCGUAGGGGCGGCCGGCGCGGAGCCGGAGGCGAUGCUUACUCCUUCGCCCAGUGUUCGCACCGGCUGUGGCGAGGCCCCUCCGGACUGGAGGGCGGCAUGGGCGGCGGCGGCCGCGGAGCCAUGGAGCGGGAGCCCAGCGGAGGGGAGCGGGCCGGAGGCGGCUGGGGCCGGGCCCUGGCCCGGGCGCGCUCUCCUGCCCUUCCUGGCGGCUCCCUGUACCUGGAGACGCAGCGCCGGAGCCCGCGAUCUGUGGCGAGGCGCAGCAGCUUCGCAGUCCACGUGCGGCCGAGCCGCGUUUGUUUAUGGCGGACCCGCCUUCGGGCGGAGCACUGGCCGCCCGGGUCCCGGAGCUGGGGGGGGGGGGGGGGGGGGGGGGGGGGGGGGGACCGCGGCGGGGGCGGGGGCGGCGAAUCUCGCCUCCGACCCCGCCGCGGUCAUGGAGUCACAGGCGCGCCUCCGCGUCAAUGCCUCCAGGGACUCUCCCGGGAGAGACCCGCGCGCUCCCGGGCUCGGGGAAGUCGCGACGCCAGCGUGAACGCCGCCUCCCGUCUGCUCCUGGUUGGGAUCCUGUCUUCAAGUGCAACAGCCAAGCCAGCUGCCGGCUCCUCUGUGUCCUCAUGGACCAUGCUCUGGGUGUGUGUCUUCCCUGCUGGAUUGAGGAGCUCACUGGGGCAGAGGUGCCUGCAGUCAGCAAAGCACUCAGGAAAUAAUUGCUGGAGAAGGGUGGGGAAGGGACCCCACAUCUCCCCUCUGCCUGCACCUCCUUUCUCCCUGCACCUCACAGCCUCUUGCAGAGAAGUGUGGCCGUGGGACUAGACUCCUGCUGAUGGGGUGUGCGUGGGAAUGUAAGGAAAUGCCGUUUCUGGGUCUGAGACUGACGUCUCUGCGUAGGUCUUGUCUCCUCUGUACUCUUUCCCCUUCCCCUGGCCGGAAGCAAUGGAAGGCAACUGACUUCAGUCAUGUAGACAACAAGAAAGCCAUGGGGAUGGUGGAGGGACAUGGGGAAGGCACUUGGGUUUCUGAGUGACUGUGUGGAGCUGAGCAGCCCUCAGUACUUGGAGCUCUCUGUAAGACAAAGAAACUUCUGUGGUCUAAAGCCACAAGGACUGAGCUUUACCCCAAGAACAGAGCACACACAGUGGAGCACUGUGUCUAAGAAGCAUGAGCACCCACAGCAUGGAGUGUGCCAGAUUGGACAACAGACAUCCCCUAAGAUUGAGUGACUUUAGGAGAGCAGGGAGUUGCUGGCUCAGGCAAGACGGUGCCUUUGGGGAUCCCAGGUGGCAGACAGAGCUUUGCCUAGGUCGAACUGUCCAUGGGCCCGAGGUGCUGGCCAGAGGUGGGGCGGCUGGAGUUCACAGGCCAGGCAGCCAAGGGGUUGGUCCGGCAGGUGAGUCUGCCACCACGGACCCAGGCCUCAGACCGAACAGGCAGGGGCUGCUAAAGUACAGGUCUUCAGGUCAUCUGCAGGCAGGGUCUGGCCUGGACCCCAGGAGUCCACAGGCAGGGAGUGCCCUGGGGAAGAGCUGAGGAUGCUGCAUCAGAAAAGAGACAGGGAGGGUGGGGCAGGCCGGAGCACCCGCACAUGCCCUGCGUGUCAGGCACAUACACAUACACCCAUGACCCUAUUUAAUCUCCAACAGCCCUGACAAAUGGGUGUCAUUGAAGUCAUUGUUAGCACCGUGGCUGUGGCACUGAGUCCAGGAGCCCUGGGUCCUCCUCUCCACAUCACCCUGGUUACAUGGGUAACGCAUUUCUUCAUUGUUUACACCAUGUGAAGUUUGGUUUCUUUCCAUUUAUUUGUCAAAUAAAUGUUUUAAAAUUUAUUUUAAUUUUUUUUAAAAAAUGGGGUCCUGCUCUGUUGCCCAGGCUGCAGUGCAAUGGCAUGAUCACAGCUCACUGCCGCCUCUAACUCCUGGGCUCACACAAUCCUCCUGCCUCAGCCUCCCAAGUAGCUAGAACUACAGGCACAUGCCCCUGUGCUUGGCUAAUUUUUCUUUUUUUUUCUCUUUUUUUGGUAGAGACAGGAUCUUACUAUGUUGGCCAGGCUAGUAUCUAACUUACGGCCUCAAGCAGUCCUCCCACCUCAGCCUCCCAAAGUGCUGGGAUUACAGGCAUGAGCCACCUUGCCUGGCCAACAAAUGUUUUUGAACAUUCACUCUGUGCCUGGAACUACAUACAGUGUAACAGGGGAGGCAGAAUAUUAAACAGUUAACAUGAUAAGUAAUGAAAAUAGUGACUGAGCAUAAAUAGGAUGCUCAGGGGAAGUCUCGUGGAGAAGGUGACAUUCAGUUAGUAACUAAUUCCCUUGGAGAAGGCUAAUGCGAGAACACUGUCUAAAGCAUGCUCUGAGUUCUUCCCAGCAAAAGUUCUUUCUAAGUGGUUCUCAACAGGGGGUGAUUUUGCCUCCCACUCCCAGGGACAUUUGGUAAUGUUCAGAGACAUUUUUUGAUGGUCACAUCUGGAAGGGGUGCUACUGGCAUCUAGUGGGUAGAAGCUAGGGGUGCGGCUAAACAACCCACCACGAAGAAGACAGCCUCCCACGAUGAAGAGUGAUCCAGCUAAAAAUGUGAACAGUACUGGGGUAGAGAACCUGCCCUGGAGGACAGAUGUGCUUUUGCGCAGACACUUAGAAGGCAAGGUGGCUCCAUCUGCCCUUCCCCUCUGCAGCCUGGCUAAAGGGUGGACCACACAUUGUUCGGCAGAGCAGAUGGGAGCGCCUGGCACCCUGGGAUCCCUCAUCCUGGCCGCCGUCUGCCGACAUGGGGGUAAGGAAGAGAAAGAUGAUGAUUUGUACUAACUGGUGCAAUCUACUGCCAAAUCGCCAGGGAAGACGAAUGAAACACAUCUCAAGAAACUCUUGUUUAUGGUGCAGGAAGGGUUUAGUGACUUUACUGCUCAGAUUACCAUUUGGAUAUCAGUUUCAUCAUCGUCAACCUCCAAUUUCCUGUUUUGCUUAUCUUAGAAUGACUUUUUAAAAAAAUGUUUGCACUGCUCAGAUGGCUUUGGCUUCAAGUUGAUUAGAUAUGGAACUGGUUUAUAAUGGAUUAGAAUGCAGGAUUUAUUUGCUUUGUAAUAUUUUAAGAAAGCAAUGAAAGAAGCUGCAAUGACAGGGAGAGAUAUUGUAUACUUACACUCUGAUUCUUUUUUCAUUACCGGAAAAGACAACUAAUUUAGGAAUGUGGAGUAUGGUCGUUGGUCUCUUUUUGAUUUGUGUUUCACUUCAGGGUUUUCCUGAGUUACAAAUCCCUGCAGAUUUGUGAGACUUAAGAGGUACACAUGUACAUUUAGUUUUCUUUUAGCAUUUUUUUUUUUUUUAGCCUGCAGGAUCCCAUGGGUUUUUUUUUUUCCCCUCCUCCUUUCCUUUAUGUGCUUCCUGAUAAGCCAAUCCGUGUACUGCUUUUCCUGCACUGUCUGUGCAGUUGGAAGCAUUAUUCAUAUGAGUCCUGUGAAACCGAUGGCCUGUGGCCCCGGUUGUUAAACACCGACACGCUGCUCAUUAACACUCAGCAUCCGGAUAUCCUAAUUUCAGCUCAGAUUUUGGUAAAUAUAUAUUUUAUUGAUCAUUUCCAACUACCAUGCAAAGCCACAUCCUG